CCUGAACGCUGGCGGCGUGGCUAAGACAUGCAAGUCGCACGGGGUAGCAAUACCCAGUGGCGAACGGGUGAGUAAUGAAUCGCUAAUGUACCCUGGACUCUGGGAUAGCCGGUCGAAAGGCCGGGUAAUACCAGAUGAGACCACGAACAGGCAUCUGUUUGUGCUCAAAGGUCCGCCGGUCUGGGAGCAGGCGAUUUCGUGUCAGCUAGUUGGUGAGGUAACGGCUCACCAAGGCGACGACGCGUAGCCGGACUGAGAGGUUGGCCGGCCACAUCGGGACUGAGACACUG
rnacentral:rRNA from 1 species